GGCUGAGCUGGCUCACUGGCAGGUGCGGGCCAUGAUGAUAUUCAACACCUUCAACUUGAUCUUGGGUUUCAUCGUGGUGGUGGUCGAGGUGAUGAAGACAGCCUUGGGGCCUGCCCCAACUGCCUCCUCCCAGCAUGCCGGCUUGCUGGUGCUGGAACUCAGUGCUGAGGCCUUCACCCUAGGGGGAGUGCUGGU
rnacentral:sRNA from 1 species